AAAAAGAGACAGAUCGGAAAUAGGACCUUUCAUUUUCGAUAUCAAAAAUCAGAAAGCAGGUUUUCAUAAGUGUCAGUUUCAACACAUAAACAGAUCAGCGAACAUAACAGCACAUAAUCUGGCAUCAGAAGGUCUUAAAAUGGGAAAGAAUACAUACCUUGCUCCCUGGAUAUUACGGAAGCGGAAAUAGAUCGGGGAUGGAGAUGAGUCACCUGGACAUGGCAACCCAACAAAAAUGCAGAAAUAGAGUCAGGAAAGAAGCAGAAUGAAUGCAGAGAAUGGGCGGAAAAGAGAAAGAAAGAAGGAAAGAAUAAUGAAAGAAUAUCAAAAGCUAUAGAGUAGAAGCUUUCCUUGGAAUCUGAAAUGUCUUUUGCACAAGCAAUGGUAGAUGAAAAGAAAGGACGACUACAGAUUUUCUGAUUGG
rnacentral:lncRNA from 1 species